rnacentral:snRNA from 1 species
GUUUUAACAAUUUGUGCAGCACAUAUAUAAAAUUGCAAAGAUACAGAAAAGAUUAGCAUGGCCCCUGUGCAAGG